CUGAUCCAGCAAUUCCGCGUGCAGGAUGAAGGCCCUAGGGUUGUAAACUGCUUUUGUGUGGGANGAAAAGGCCUUCUCUAAUAAAGAGGGUUCCUGACGGUACCACAAGAAUAAGCACCGGCUAACUACGUGCCAGCAGCCGCGGUAAUACGUAGGGUGCAAGCGUUAAUCGGAAUUACUGGGCGUAAAGCGUGCGCAGGCGGUUUUGCAAGACAGCGGUGAAAGCCCCGGGCUUAACCUGGGAAUUGCCGUUGUGACUGCAAGGCUGGAGUGCGGCAGAGGGGGGUGGAAUUCCGCGUGUAGCAGUGAAAUGCGUAGAUAUGCGGAGGAACACCGAUGGCGAAGGCAGCCCCCUGGGCCUGCACUGACGCUCAUGCACGAAAGCGUGGGUAGCAAACAGGAUUAGAUACCCUGGUAGUCCACGCCGUAAACGAUGUCAACUGGUUGUUGGGGAUUUGUUUCUUCAGUAACGAAGCUAACGCGUGAAGUUG
rnacentral:rRNA from 1 species